rnacentral:misc_RNA from 1 species
CGCCCCAUCUCGGCAGCCAGAAUACCGGUCUGGUCCCAAGCCUGCUUCCACUUGUCGAAGUCGCGACCGAAGGCUUCGUCGAACAGCCGCACCUUCUUGUCCUUGGCAAUGGUGAUGUCACGCGGAUAUUCUUCGAGACCUGACGGUGCCUCCAGUGCAAGGCCCUGAACUGAGUCCGGCCAAGUCAGCGCAUAGCCCAUUACAAACUGCCCGCCAAGCGAGUGGCCAAGAUAGUAAGCCUUCUUCACACCGAGCUGGCCGACCACGAGAUCGUAGAUGACCUCGCGCAUGUCCUGCAUGGUACGUGCGGGACUCUUGUCGAGAUUGCCGGGCCCGGACAUACCGUAAUGCGGCAGGUCCGGCACGAUCACGCGCAUGCCGCUACGUAGCGCAUAUUGCAUAAUGUUGCCGUA